UACGCACGCUGGCGGCGUGCCUAAUACAUGCAAGUUGAGCGCUGAAGGUUGGUACUUGUACCAACGGGAUGAGCAGCGAACGGGUGAGUAACGCGUGGGGAAUCUGCCUUUGAGCGGGGGACAACAUUUGGAAACGAAUGCUAAUACCGCAUAAAAACUUUAAACACAAGUUUUAAGUUUGAAAGAUGCAAUUGCAUCACUCAAAGAGUAUCCCGCGUUGUAUUAGCUAGUUGGUGAGGUAAAGGCUCAACAAGGCGAUGAUACAUAGCCGACCUGAGAGGGGGAUCGGACCCAUUGGGACUGAGACACGGCCCAAAACCCUAAGGGAGGCAGCAGUAGGGAAUCUUCCGCAAUGGAGGAAAGUCUGACCGUGCAACGCCGCGGGAGGGAAGAAGGUUGUCGGAUCGGAAAACUCUGUUGGUAGAGAAGAAAGUUGGUGAGAGUGGAAAGCUCAUCAAGUGACGGUAACUACCCAGAAAGGGACGGCUAACUACGUG
rnacentral:rRNA from 1 species